CAAACAACUGGGGCGAUCAUAUUAGCACUAAAGCACCGGAUCCCAUCAGAACUCCGCAGUUAAGCGUGCUUGGGCGAGAGUAGUACUAGGAUGGGUGACCUCUCGAGAAGUCCUCCUAUUGCACCCCACAUUCUUUUUUUUUUUUUUACUUUUAGUCAUCGUUAUUACUAUAUAUUUAUUUGUUUAUUGGUUGAUUACCAUUCGUAAUGAUUAAUCAGUGACAACUCGAGAAAUUGAUGAACCCUUUUUUUGUGUAGCGUAAAAUUACAAGGACGAGGGCUAGCGUAUGAUAUAUCGAGCAACGCAUGGGAAAGGAAGGGUCAAAUAUAUAAUUUAUGCAUCAAAUGAUGUGUGCAAUCAUACUAGCACUAAAAGCAUGGGAUCCCAUCAAUAUUCCACAAUUAAGCGUGCGUGGAUGAAAGUAGUACUAUGAUGGGUGACCUUUUAGGAAGUCUUCAUGUUUCACUCUAUCUUCUUUUAUUUUUUGCUUUUCAUUCAUCGUUAUUACUAUAUAUUUAUUUGUUUAUUCAUUGAUUACCAUUCGUAGUGAUUAAUUGAUGAUGACUUGAUAAAUCGAUGAACCCUUUUUUGGCAUAGCACAAAAUUUCAAAAACUGGGGCUCGUGUAUGAUAUUUCGAGCAACACAUCAAAAAAGAAAGGUCAGAUAUAUAAUUUAUGUUUCAAACAACAAGUACGAUAAUACUAGCACUAAAGCACUGACAGGUGACCUCUUAGGAAGUCCUCAUGUUGCACCCCACAUUCUUUUAUUUUUUGCUUUUUGUUUGUCAUUUUUACUAUAUAUUUAUUUGUUUAUUCAUUAAUUACCCUUCAUUGUGAUUAAUCGGUAAUGACUCGAGAAAUUGGUGAACUCUUUUUUGGCACAGCGCAAAAUUAUAGGGAUGGGGGCUUAUUGAGCAACGCACGGGAAAGGAAGGGUCGGAUACAUAAUUUGCGCAAGAAGUGACGGGUGCGAUCAUACCAGCACUAAAGCACCGGAUCCCAUCAGAACUCCGCAGUUAAGCGUGCUUGGGCGAGAGUAGUACUAGGAUGGGUGACCUCCUGGGAAGUCCUCGUGUUGCACUCCACAUUCUUUUAUUUUUUGUUUUUUGUCAAUCGUUAGUACUCUAUAUUUAUUUGUUUAUUCAUUAAUUACCGU
rnacentral:lncRNA from 1 species